UACGGAGGGUGCAAGCGUUAUCCGGAUUUACUGGGUUAAAGGGUGCGUAGGUGGGCAGGUAAGUCAGUGGUGAAAUCUCCGAGCUUAACUCGGAAACUGCCAUUGAUACUAUCUGUCUUGAAUAUCCUGGAGGUAAGCGGAAUAUGUCAUGUAGCGGUGAAAUGCUUAGAUAUGACAUAGAACACCAAUUGCGAAGGCAGCUUACUACGGGAUUAUUGACACUGAGGCACGAAAGCGUGGGGAUCAAACAGG
rnacentral:rRNA from 1 species